AUGGAUAAACUAACAUAUUUAGCUGCUGAGCAUGAUGGUUUGGGUUUGCAACACAUGAUUGAAAUGAAGAAGACAAAAGGUACAGAACUGACUCUCUUCCAAGGAGCACAACAUGGACACAUGAGCGAUGAUGAAGGUAGCGCCGUCAAAUAUUUCAUUGGAUUAUCAGCUCCAGAACAAAAACACAAGGCCGGUCGACCAACAAACAUCAGAGACAAGCCUCCAUAUGAUGACCGAUCUGCAAAGAGCAAAAAAAAAAUAAGGUCACAUCAUAAGUUGAUACAGGUAUUGGAUGCAGUACAAGCAAACGAACACGGUUCUACACUAUAUGCCGUGGCCCUGGUCACAAGAGCACAACGUGUCCCCUAA
rnacentral:rRNA from 1 species